rnacentral:rRNA from 1 species
AGCUCCAAUAGCGUAUAUUCAAGUUGUUGCAGUUAAAAAGCUCGUAGUUGAAUUUUGGGCCUGGUUCAAUGGUUUAGCCGCAAGGUUAACACUAUUUGACUGGGUCUUUCCUUCUAGGGAACUAGUGUGCUCUUUACUGAGUGCGUUAGGGAUCUAGGACUGUUACUGUGAAAAAAUUAGAGUGUUUAAAACAGGCUUAUGCUUGAAUACUACAGCAUGGAAUAACGGAAUAGGACUUUGUUUCUAUUUUGUUGGUUUUUAGAAACGAAGUAAUGAUUAAUAGGGAUAGUUGGGGGCAUUAGUAUUCCAUAGUCAGAGGUGAAAUUCUUGGAUUUAUGAAAGACUAACUUCUGCGAAAGCAUUUGCCAAGGAUGUUUUCA